rnacentral:rRNA from 1 species
UACGUAGGUGGCAAGCGUUGUCCGGAAUUAUUGGGCGUAAAAGCGCGCGCAGGCGGUCCUUUAAGUCUGAUGUGAAAGCCCACGGGCUCAACCGUGGAGGGUCAUUGGAAAACUGGGGGGACUUGAGUGCAGGAGAGAAAAGUGGAAUUCCAGGCGUAGUUAGCGGUGAAAUGCGUAGAAGAUGUGGAGGAACACCAGUGG